rnacentral:rRNA from 1 species
AGUUUGAUCCUGGCUCAGAUUGAACGCUGGCGGAAUGCUUUACACAUGCAAGUCGAACGGCAGCACGGGAGCUUGCUCCUGGUGGCGAGUGGCGAACGGGUGAGUAAUGCGUCGGAACGUACCGAGUAAUGGGGGAUAACGCACCGAAAGGUGUGCUAAUACCGCAUACGCCCUGAGGGGGAAAGCAGGGGAUCGCAAGACCUUGCGUUAUUCGAGCGGCCGACGUCUGAUUAGCUAGUUGGUGGGGUAAAGGCCUACCAAGGCGACGAUCAGUAGCGGGUCUGAGAGGAUGAUCCGCCACACUGGAACUGAGACACGGUCCAGACUCCUACGGGAGGCAGCAGUGGGGAAUUUUGGACAAUGGGGGAAACCCUGAUCCAGCCAUUCCGCGUGAGUGAAGAAGGCCUUCGGGUUGUAAAGCUCUUUCAGCUGGAACGAAACGGUACGCUCUAACAUAGCGUGCUAAUGACGGUACCAGCAGAAGAAGCACCGGCUAACUACGUGCCAGCAGCCGCGGUAAUACGUAGGGUGCGAGCGUUAAUCGGAAUUACUGGGCGUAAAGCGUGCGCAGGCGGAUUGUUAAGCAAGACGUGAAAUCCCCGGGCUUAACCUGGGAAUGGCGUUUUGAACUGGCAGUCUAGAGUGUGUCAGAGGGGGGUAGAAUUCCACGUGUAGCAGUGAAAUGCGUAGAGAUGUGGAGGAAUACCAAUGGCGAAGGCAGCCCCCUGGGAUAACACUGACGCUCAUGUACGAAAGCGUGGGUAGCAAACAGGAUUAGAUACCCUGGUAGUCCACGCCCUAAACGAUGUCAACUGGUUGUUGGGGGAGUGAAAUCCCUUAGUAACGAAGCUAACGCGUGAAGUUGACCGCCUGGGGAGUACGGUCGCAAGAUUAAAACUCAAAGGAAUUGACGGGGACCCGCACAAGCGGUGGAUGAUGUGGAUUAAUUCGAUGCAACGCGAAAAACCUUACCUACCCUUGACAUGUCCAGAAUCCUGCAGAGAUGCGGGAGUGCCCGAAAGGGAAUUGGAA